rnacentral:rRNA from 1 species
CGGUCGCGUAACACGUAAGCAACCUGCCCUGAAGUGGGGGACAACAUCCCGAAAGGGGUGCUAAUACCGCAUGUGGUCACGAGUCGGCAUCGACUUGUGUCUAAAGAUUUAUCGCUUCAGGAUGGGCUUGCGGCCUAUCAGGUAGUUGGUGGGGUAAUGGCCUACCAAGCCGACGACGGGUAGCUGGUCUGAGAGGACGAUCAGCCGGAUUGGGACUGAGAUACGGCCCAGACUCCUACGGGGGGCAGCAAUUAGGAAUCUUGCGCAAUGGGGGAAACCCUGACGCAGCGACGUCGCGUGAAGGAUGAAGGCCCUCGGGUCGUAAACUUCUUUUGAGUGGGAAGAAAUUUGACGGUACCACUCGAAUAAGCCCCGGCUAACUACGUGCCAGCAGCCGCGGUAAUACGUAGGGGGCGAGCGUUGUCCGAAGUUACUGGGCGUAAAGCGCGCGUAGGCGGUUAUUUAAGUCUGGGGUGAAAGGUUCAGCGCUCAACGUGAA